UACGUAGGGGGCAAGCGUUGUCCGGAAUCAUUGGGCGUAAAGAGCGUGUAGGCGGCCCGGUAAGUCCGCUGUGAAAGUCCAGGGCUCAACCCUGGGAUGCCGGUGGAUACUGUCGGGCUCGAGUCCGGAAGAGGAGUGUGGAAUUCCUGGUGUAGCGGUGAAAUGCGCAGAUAUCAGGAGGAACACCGAUGGCGAAGGCAGCUCGCUGGGACGGUACUGACGCUGAGGCGCGAAAGCGUGGGGAGCGAACAGG
rnacentral:rRNA from 1 species